rnacentral:lncRNA from 1 species
UAAGCAAUGGGCUAACAUAUAAAAGGAAGGAAAGUAUGAAUAGGAGUUCACAGAGGGAGAAUGAUUUCACAUUUCCAACUGCACAUGACAUCCCUGUGUCAGAUAAAGCAGUGGAAGGUGAUACAGCUGAGCCUAAGACUGACAUUUUGAAGACGAAACUAUGGGAGAUUUUAGGGACGGUUUCUUCACCUAAAAGUCAGCCUUCAAAUAUUAAGGG